CAGCAAAGUAAUACAUGAUUAUUUAUCUCAUACCAGCAUUUUCAUGACCAAUAGACAUGAGUCAUGUUCUGGAAGGAAUAUUUCUACUUCAAUGAUGUCAGCUGACUGUGCGUGACUGUGGGAUGUGCAAGCGUGAGGCCUUUUCUAGCUCAUUCCAUAAAUGGGAUCAAAUGAGGAUUAGGAUUAACGCCAUCGGUGGUCAUAUUAACGCACGACUAGGGGGUCUCUUCAUUUUUAAUAGAUGCAUGAAUGCUGUCACAGCUCAUUAUUGUAUGUACGAAAACACAUGAAUUAUUUUUAGAAAAUUUGCUGAUUUGACAGCACAUUUUUUUUAUUGUAAGAAACUUGCACAUUUGGGUUCAAGGCAUGUCAUACCAUCCUCAACCACAAGAGGGUAUCAAAACAUCUUAAAGCCACAAAAAAAGAGAUUUCAAUUGUAUCUUUUUUUUACCUGGAAGUGUUUUCUAAAUAGUAAAUUAAGUUAAUUUAAGAUAAAGUUCUCACUUCAUCCAAUUUAUUAAUUAAGUUUAUUACAAUUAAAAAAAAUAAAAAAUAGUUGUAGCCAAUUAUUACACAAUGAUGCUAAUCAUAAUUAUGAUAAUAUUAAGUAGUGAUUUAAAAUUGAAAUAAUGCAUAUCAAAUAUUAUGGAAAAGCAAUAUAAACCUUAAUGAAAUUUCACAGAAAAAGUCAAUAUUGUUUUUUUUUAACCUGCUUUCACGUAAUUGUAUUAAUUUCAUCUAAAUAUUAAAUAUUAUGUUUAACCAACAAUUACCUAAACUUUGUCCAAAUAACGCAUUGAUCCAACAACCACUUUUGUUUGAUGUCCAACCUCCGACGACAAAGCUACGAACAAUGGGAGACCGGGCUUUCUGCUCCGCCGCUCCCAGUCUGUGGAAUGCUCUCCCUGACCACCUGAGGGCACCACAGACUGUGGAUGCUUUUAAAAAAGGCUUAAAAGCCCUUUUUUUUUAAAAAAGAGGAAAAAAAGCCUUUUUUUAGAUACAUGCAUACUAGUUAUAGCUAUUUGGCUGUUCUAGUUUUUAUUUUUAUUUAUUUAUUUAUUAUCUUUUUAUUUAUUUAUUUUAAUACACUGUAGCACUUUGAGAUUGUUUACUCAAUAUAAAGUGUUUUUUUUUACAAAUAAAAUCUAUUAUUAUUAUUUCCCCCAAAAAUGUUUAAUAUGAGCAGUGUAUCUCCAAUCCAUGACAUUUUCCCAAAUAUUUAAUAAUAAAAAUUAAUAUUAGGUUGACUUAAUUGUGCUGAUUUCAUCAUAUAGGAACAGCAAUAUAUUAGAUAUUUACAUUAUAGUUUGAUUGAUUUCAUUAUAUUAUUGUAAUACAAAUUAAAUACAAAGUUGACAAAAAUUAAUAUUAAAUAAUAGUCCAAAUCUUGUUAAUGUAACAAAAUAUUUUAAUUUAUUCUUUUUAAUAGAAUCAAAAAAUUUAAAAGUUGUUUUUAUUUGUGUUCUCCUGCAUAAAUAUGACAAAUGAAUUAACAAUUUUUUAAAUAUUGUGUUGACCCAACGUUAUUUUAAUUGAAAUGAA